rfam:Ixodes scapularis strain Wikel colony gcontig_1108378330802, whole genome shotgun sequence.
GCCGGGAUGGUCUAAUCGGUUAAGGCGUCGCCCCGGGCAGGUGAAGGUUGCGGGUUCGAUCCCCGCUCCUGGCC